GCCCCCGUAGCUCAGAGGAUAGAGCGUCGGUUUCCUAAACCGUGCGUCGGGUGUUCGAAUCACCCCGGGGGCGCCA
rnacentral:tRNA from 1 species